GAUGAACGCUGGCGGCGUGCCUAAUACAUGCAAGUCGAGCGAACGGACGAGAAGCUUGCUUCUCUGAUGUUAGCGGCGGACGGGUGAGUAACACGUGGAUAACCUACCUAUAAGACUGGGAUAACUUCGGGAAACCGGAGCUAAUACCGGAUAAUAUUUUGAACCGCAUGGUUCAAAAGUGAAAGACGGUCUUGCUGUCACUUAUAGAUGGACCCGCGCUGCAUUAGCUAGUUGGUAAGGUAACGGCUUACCAAGGCAACGAUGCAUAGCCGACCUGAGAGGGUGAUCGGCCACACUGGAACUGAGACACGGUCCAGACUCCUACGGGAGGCAGCAGUAGGGAAUCUUCCGCAAUGGGCGAAAGCCUGACGGAGCAACGCCGCGUGAGUGAUGAAGGUCUUCGGAUCGUAAAACUCUGUUAUUAGGGAAGAACAUAUGUGUAAGUAACUGUGCACAUCUUGACGGUACCUAAUCAGAAAGCCACGGCUAACUACGUGCCAGCAGCCGCGGUAAUACGUAGGUGGCAAGCGUUAUCCGGAAUUAUUGGGCGUAAAGCGCGCGUAGGCGGUUUUUUAGUCUGAUGUGAAAGCCCACGGCUCAACCGUGGAGGGUCAUUGGAAACUGGAAAACUUGAGUGCAGAAGAGGAAAGUGGAAUUCCAUGUGUAGCGGUGAAAUGCGCAGAGAUAUGGAGGAACACCAGUGGCGAAGGCGACUUUCUGGUCUGUAACUGACGCUGAUGUGCGAAAGCGUGGGGAUCAAACAGGAUUAGAUACCCUGGUAGUCCACGCCGUAAACGAUGAGUGCUAAGUGUUAGGGGGUUUCCGCCCCUUAGUGCUGCAGCUAACGCAUUAAGCACUCCGCCUGGGGAGUACGACCGCAAGGUUGAAACUCAAAGGAAUUGACGGGGACCCGCACAAGCGGUGGAGCAUGUGGUUUAAUUCGAAGCAACGCGAAGAACCUUACCAAAUCUUGACAUCCUUUGACAACUCUAGAGAUAGAGCCUUCCCCUUCGGGGGACAAAGUGACAGGUGGUGCAUGGUUGUCGUCAGCCCGUGUCGUGAGAUGUUGGGUUAAGUCCCGCAACGAGCGCAACCCUUAAGCUUAGUUGCCAUCAUUAAGUUGGGCACUCUAAGUUGACUGCCGGUGACAAACCGGAGGAAGGUGGGGAUGACGUCAAAUCAUCAUGCCCCUUAUGAUUUGGGCUACACACGUGCUACAAUGGACAAUACAAAGGGCAGCGAAACCGCGAGGUCAAGCAAAUCCCAUAAAGUUGUUCUCAGUUCGGAUUGUAGUCUGCAACUCGACUACGUGAAGCUGGAAUCGCUAGUAAUCGUAGAUCAGCAUGCUACGGUGAAUACGUUCCCGGGUCU
rnacentral:rRNA from 1 species